UUCCAGGAAAAUUUAGGCAUGGUUUUUCUGUUGGUGAAAGUAAUACUAGGAGAGAUCAUUUGCCUUGUGUUUCUGAUAAGAAGAGUACAGUCAGAAGUUCCUUAAAGUAUGGAGAGCCUUCUCAUGAUCUUAUCAUUUUGGCAACAACAGUGUUUUCCUGUGUCUCUACAUCUAAGCAGAAUAUUCUACCUGACAAGGAAAUACUUUUUGAUGUCCUAAUGUUUUUGUGGCAGAAGUGUAAAACAGGACUUCAGUUAAUCCAGAUGAAUGGAAGUGGCUACUUUAAAUAUGACCACAAAUACAAAGCUUCCAAAUGGCUUUAUGUACUCUGGAUAAUAAAUGAAGUAAUUCUGCAAAGUAAUGUAGCAGACACUGAUGUUGUAACGGUAGCAGAGAUAACCUUAUGUCUAACUGCAGUACUGGAAAAUAUGGCUGAUUCUGCG
rnacentral:lncRNA from 1 species